rnacentral:rRNA from 1 species
GGAUUAGAAACCCGGGUAGUCCAUGCCGUAAACGUUGGGCGCUAGGUGUGGGGCUCAUUCCACGAGUUCCGUGCCGCAGCUAACGCAUUAAGCGCCCCGCCUGGGGAGUACGGCCGCAAGGCUAAAACUCAAAGGAAUUGACGGGGGCCCGCACAAGCGGCGGAGCAUGCUGAUUAAUUCGAUGCAACGCGAAGAACCUUACCAAGGCUUGACAUAUACCGGAAACGCUCAGAGAUGGGUGCCCCGCAAGGUCGGUGUACAGGUGGUGCAUGGUUGUCGUCAGCUCGUGUCGUGAGAUGUUGGGUUAAAUCCCGCAACGAGCGCAACCCUCGUUCUAUGUUGCCAGCGGGUCAUGCCGGGGACUCAUAGGAGACUGCCGGGGUCAACUCGGAGG